GGGGCCUCAGCCUUUAUCUCCACUCUGCGGAGAUUCACGCCUGGAAAACGCUCUUCUGAGAGGAUCUGUGGAGGUCAACCCAGGAGAGAGAAGACAGGACUGAAGCACUGAAAGGGUCCUGCCGUAAGGGCGCAGGAUUGUAUAGAAUAUAUAAUAGCAGUAGCAGCUCUGUUUACGGAGCAUUAACCUUACGUGGAGUUAUUUCCUGCAUUUCCUCCUUUCGUCUUUACAAGGUAGCCGUUUGGCGUCGUGAGAGAUUGGGUCUCUCCACAUUGCCCCGGCUGCUCUCCAACCCCUGAGUUCAAGUGAUUCACCUCCCUUGGCCUCCCAAAGAACUGGGAUUACAGACGUGAGCCACCGUGCCUGGCUGAGAAGAUGGAUUUAAGAUAUGUUUUGGAGCGGAAAGUGAGCAGAAGAGGUGUGCAGUUUCCAGGCCUGGCCCAUACAGACCUCCAACAGGUGCUCCCCUGUGCUGUUACUCCUUCUGCCAACUGGAAGCAGAUGGUGACCAGGCUCUGGAGAAGGCAAGGCCUGAAGAUGGGAGAUUCCUAAGUGGAGGAGAACUGUGCCUUACUGACCUAAAUAUCCACUCAGUAUUGUUAUGUGAGAAUAAAUAAACUUGUGUUGACC
rnacentral:lncRNA from 1 species